rnacentral:rRNA from 1 species
AACCUUACCAAGGUUUGACAUCCCUCGCAAAGCUAUAGAAAUAUAGUAGAGGUUAUCGAGGUGACAGGUGGUGCAUGGCUGUCGUCAGCUCGUGUCUUGAGAUGUUUGGUUAAGUCCCGCAACGAGCGCAACCCCACUCUUUAGUUACUUGUCUAAAGAGACUGCACAGUAAUGUAGAGGAAGGAUGGGAUCACGUCAAGUCAUCAUGCCCCUUAUGCCUUGGGCUGCAAACGUGCUACAAUGGCGAACACAAUGUGUUGCAAACCAGCGAUGGUAAGCUAAUCACCAAAUUUCGUCUCAGUUCGGAUAGGAGGCUGCAAUUCGCCUCU